CAAUAGCGUAUAUUAAAGUUGUUGCGGUUAAAAAGCUCGUAGUUGGAUUUCUGCCGAGGACGACCGGUCCGCCCUCUGGGUGUGUAUCUGGUUUGGCCUGGGCAUCUUCUUGGAGAACGUAGCUGCACUUGACUGUGUGGUGCGGUGUCCAGGACUUUUACUUUGAGGAAAUUAGAGUGUUUCAAGCAGGCACACGCCUUGAAUACAUUAGCAUGGAAUAAUAAGAUAGGACCUCGGUUCUAUUUUGUUGGUUUCUAGAGCUGAGGUAAUGAUUAAUAGGGAUAGUUGGGGGCAUUCGUAUUUAACUGUCAGAGGUGAAAUUCUUGGAUUUACGAAAGAUAAACUUCUGCGAAAGCAUUCGGCAAGGAUGUUUUCAUUGA
rnacentral:rRNA from 1 species